UAGCUCGAAUCUCGACUUCUUCAAGGCAAUGGAAGCAGUCUCGGACCCUCGUAACGUUCUAGUCAGGACGAGAUUCUGCACCUACUACAAGGCCACCAUGCCUUCAGGAGCAAUCUACCUGGUCAAGAAACUGAACCUGAGUGAGAAAAUCUUCCUGAUGAACAAUUAUAACAGGUUUUCUCAGGAACUCGACGUUCUGGCGAAAUUGAGCAAUUCGAAUGUCAUGUCUCCCUUGGCCUAUUCAUUGACCGAAGGGACCGCUUACCUCUUCUACGAGAACGCUCCGAUGGGAUGUCUGUUCGAUGUUCUUCAUCAUCAGAGGGAAAAACCGGUUCUCGAUUGGCCUAGCAGGUAUAGUAUAGCUGUGGGAGUAGCUCAAGGUCUGGCUUCUCUGCAUGGAUUUCGGUAUGGUCCGAUUCUCUUGCUCGACUUGUCGAGCAAGAACGUUCUUUUGAAGUCUCUUAAGGAGCCGGUUGUUGGAGAUAUCGAGCUUUGUAAAGUCAUUGAUCCUUCGAAGAGUACUGGUAGCAUUUCCACUGUUGCUGGCUCUGUGGGAUACAUCCCU
rnacentral:lncRNA from 1 species